GCCACAGUCAUAUCACCCUGCAGCCCAAGACUGGUUGCCCACUAAAGCUAAGCAGGGUUGAGCCUGGUCAGAAGCUGGAUGGGAGACCUCCUGGGAAAACUAGGUUGCUGCUGGAA
rnacentral:rRNA from 1 species